CAUGCGGCGCGAUUCGCCCUUAGAGUUUGAUCCUGGCUCAGAUUGAACGCUGGCGGCAGGCCUAACACAUGCAAGUCGAACGGUAACAGGAAGCAGCUUGCUGCUUUGCUGACGAGUGGCGGACGGGUGAGUAAUGUCUGGGAAACUGCCUGAUGGAGGGGGAUAACUACUGGAAACGGUAGCCAAUACCGCAUAACGUCGCAAGACCAAAGAGGGGGACCUUCGGGCCUCUUGCCAUCAGAUGUGCCCAGAUGGGAUUAGCUUGUUGGUGGGGUAACGGCUCACCAAGGCGACGAUCCCUAGCUGGUCUGAGAGGAUGACCAGCCACACUGGAACUGAGACACGGUCCAGACUCCUACGGGAGGCAGCAGUGGGGAAUAUUGCACAAUGGGCGCAAGCCUGAUGCAGCCAUGCCGCGUGUAUGAAGAAGGCCUUCGGGUUGUAAAGUACUUUCAGCGGGGAGGAAGGUGUUGUGGUUAAUAACCACAGCAAUUGACGUUACCCGCAGAAGAAGCACCGGCUAACUCCGUGCCAGCAGCCGCGGUAAUACGGAAGGUGCAAGCGUUAAUCGGAAUUACUGGGCGUAAAGCGCACGCAGGCGGUCUGUUAAGUCAGAUGUGAAAUCCCCGGGCUCAACCUGGGAACUGCAUCUGAUACUGGCAGGCUUGAGUCUCGUAGAGGGGGGUAGAAUUCCAGGUGUAGCGGUGAAAUGCGUAGAGAUCUGGAGGAAUACCGGUGGCGAAGGCGGCCCCCUGGACGAAGACUGACGCUCAGGUGCGAAAGCGUGGGGAGCAAACAGGAUUAGAUACCCUGGUAGUCCACGCCGUAAACGAUGUCGACUUGGAGGUUGUGCCCUUGAGGCGUGGCUUCCGGAGCUAACGCGUUAAGUCGACCGCCUGGGGAGUACGGCCGCAAGGUUAAAACUCAAAUGAAUUGACAGGGGCCCGCACAAGCGGUGGAGCAUGUGGUUUAAUUCGAUGCAACGCGAGAACCUUACCUGGUCUUGACAUCCACAGAACUUUGGCAGAGAUGCCUUGGUGCCCUUCGGGAACUGUGAGACAGGUGCUGCAUGGCUGUCGUCAGCUCGUGUUGUGAAUGUUUGGGUUAAGUUCCCGCACGAGCGCCAACCUUAUUCCUUUGAUGCAAGCGAUCCGCGCCGGAACUCUAAAGGCGU
rnacentral:rRNA from 1 species